UUAAUUUUUUAAUUCGAAAAUUAAUUAUUGGCGAAUUUUUCAGAUUCAGAGAUAUUUAAUCGAUUUUUUUGAUGAUUAAAAUACGUUUCAUCUUGAAAGGAAGUGAGAAUUUCGAUUAAGUGUGGCUUUAGUUUCAACAAUAACAAUUUCCGCCAUGAAUGGUGUAUUUUCCUAGGGAAGAAAAUUUAUUUUGGGAUUGUAUUUUUUUGACUAAAAUGCGUUCGAAUUUCGGCUCAAAAGGAAAGAAAAUUAUGGAAAAUAAAGGGAAAGAAGCAAAAGAAGAAGAAAAUUCAAAUUUUUUGACUAAAAUGCAUUCGAAUUUGCAGAAAGUAAAAAUUUCGAUUCGAUUAGGAAAAAAGUGAGGGAAAAUUGAAGAGAAAGAUGCAGAAGAAGAGGAGGAAAAGCGGAAGAAUUAAAUUACGUUUGCAAUUUGGGGAUCGUAUUUUUUUUUUUUUUUUUGACUAAAAUGCGUUCGAAUUUCUGUUCGGAAAGAAGAAAAAAAUUAGAGGAAAUAGAAGAGAAAGAAGCAAACUCAGAUUUGGAUUCUUUUGACUGAAAUGCGUUCGAAUUUGCAGAAAGUGAGAAUUUCGGUUCGAACAGAAAAAAAUGAGGGAAAAUAGAAGAGAAAGAAGUAGAAGAAUAAGAAGAAGGAAUAUCGGAAGAAUUAAAUUACGUUCACAAUUUGGGGAAUUAUUCUGUCGUAUUUUUUUUUUUUGAUUAAGAUACGUUUGCAAAUUGGAAAAAGUGAGCAUUUCGGUUCAAGAAGAUGGAAACAAGAGGAAAAAGCAGAAGAAGAAGAAGAUGAAGAAUAUCAAGAAGCAGAAAAAAAGGAAAAAGAGGAAAAAAUACCAAGAACCAGAAGAAAAAAG